rnacentral:lncRNA from 1 species
CAGAGAGAAAAUGGUGGAUUUAGCACACAUGAAUAGCUAAAUUCUACAAGUUUUUUACAAGGCUUUUUUCUUUCUUUUUUGAUGAUAAGUCUCGAUAUUAAGAAAGAAAAGAAAGAAGAAAGAAGGAAAGAAGAAAAAGAGAAAGAAAGAAAGAAAGAAAGAAAGAAAAAGAAAAGAAAAGAAAAGGCAGAAAGAGAAAGGUAACAAAAAAAAUAAAGUAGGGAGCAAGUGAUGGAAGGAAGAAAACUGAAAAAUAAUUUAUUCUAAACAAAUAUCCUUAGUAGCAAGAAAGACCUGCCUACAGAGUGGAAACUGAGAGAGAGAGGUUUGAUUCUCUAUGAUUUUACCCUCUUGCGUUUUAUGAAGAUUGAUAGAAGAGUUUAUUCUGUGACUCUGGAUUUCUUCUAUUGGCACAUUGGGAUGAAUAUUAUUAUAAGCCCAGAAGAAGAAGACCUAUUGACCAUUCAUGAAUGACAGCUAUCAGCUCUACAGAAACAUGGGAUGGAAGAUUGCUAAGUUAGAUUAUCUCUGCUCCACAAUUCCAUUGGCUAAAAAACCAGAGGGAAAGAGCAAAAGCUAGAACCUGAUAAAUGUAAGUUGAGCAUGCAGGGAGGUUUUCCACCUUAGAAGGCUGAUAAAUAUUGAAAUAUCUUAAGGUUUAGUUGACAGCUUGUCUCACCCACUCUCUCAGUAUGGAGAAUGAAGGAAAGAAAAAUGACUGGCAUUUAUUGUUAAUAAGGAACUUCUAUCCCAUUAAACACCACAAGAACCCAGCCAGGCAAAUAAACCCUGGGAAAUACUUGCUCUCAACAGGACAAAGGGUGAUAUCCUUAAUAAGAAAAGAGCUCAUGACAAAAGGUAAUAAUAAAAUAAUUAAGUUCCUCAUAAAUAAAGGGAGAAGGGAAGUAAGACAAUUUCAGACACAGACACAUCAGUGGCUAAUAAACAUUUGAUCAUUUUUCAACUCUGCUCAUUAUCAGAGAAAUGGAAGUUGGAAUAACAAUGAGAUACUAUUUUUAACCUAUCAGAUUAACAGAAUUGUAAAAAAAUGAGAACAUUCAAUUCUGGGGCUUGAGCACAGAGACAUAGACCUGCGCGACACAGCUGGAAGCAAUGCAAAGUGGUUCCAAGCCCUGAAGAAGCAACGCGGAGGACAAUGGGCGAGCCUUGAAAAUAAUUUGUGACACUCACCUCCAAAAUUCUGUUUCUGGGAUUCGAAUGAUGGAAAUGAUCUGAAAAGAAGAAAGGGUUGUCUGCCAAAGACAUUCAUUGCAUUGCUGUUUGUAAUAUUACAAUUGGGGGGGAAUAAAGUUUCCAAAAAUGAUGGUGAUAUUAAAC